rnacentral:lncRNA from 1 species
GGCCUUAAGGUGCAAAUAAAUAAGGUUUUUCAAAUAUAAUUUAGCGCGAAGGUGAGCGGGGUGUUACAUUCCCCACACCUUAAAAAAAUUUGGUCUCUAAAUUUGUCUCAAGCAAGUCUGGAAACUUUUCCCUCAUCUAACUUUCCAACUCCUACGUCGCCUCUUUCGGAGUCUGGUGCUGCCAAUGCACCUUCACUAUGAGAAUCGUCUUGUUGCGUAAGACUGUCGGUCCAACCAAGAAUCUCUAU